rnacentral:rRNA from 1 species
AUUGAACGCUGGCGGCAGGCCUAACACAUGCAAGUCGAGCGGAUGAAGGGAGCUUGCUCCUGGAUUCAGCGGCGGACGGGUGAGUAAUGCCUAGGAAUCUGCCUGGUAGUGGGGGAUAACGUCCGGAAACGGGCGCUAAUACCGCAUACGUCCUGAGGGAGAAAGUGGGGGAUCUUCGGACCUCACGCUAUCAGAUGAGCCUAGGUCGGAUUAGCUAGUUGGUGGGGUAAAGGCCUACCAAGGCGACGAUCCGUAACUGGUCUGAGAGGAUGAUCAGUCACACUGGAACUGAGAGACGGUCCAGACUCCUACGGGAGGCAGCAGUGGGGAAUAUUGGACAAUGGGCGAAAGCCUGAUCCAGCCAUGCCGCGUGUGUGAAGAAGGUCUUCGGAUUGUAAAGCACUUUAAGUUGGGAGGAAGGGCAGUAAGUUAAUACCUUGCUGUUUUGACGGUACCAACAGAAUAAGCACCGGCUAACUUCGUG